UCAUGCCUGCUUUCUACAGUCUGGUAUUUGGUAAUAGGAAUUAGGACAACACGCUCAUUAACGACAUUCGCAUUUCGCAGUUCGGAUUUUGGAAGGUCGUCUGCACUCUGCAGGACUGCAAAAGCUGUUUUUGUAAGGUUUAGGUGUCAACAGUCACACUCACAGCAACACAAACAGCAUUGACGGUAAAAAUCAUCCUACCACUAGGCUCCAAUGAAACAAAUCUAAGCUUUCAAGUGCAGUGUGACUGCCAAAGUUACCUCUGCCCAUGGAGACGCCAGCAAUGUAGAACAAAUACUUAAAGCUAUACCAACACUCAUCUAUAUGUGGACUGCCAUCAGGACGUUUGCCUGAAACAAGAAGAAUUCCAAUCUCCAGUCUACAUGGUGAUUGGCGUGGAUUACAGUUCCACUAUCAGCAACAACAACAAAAUCUGUUGAAGAAAAGACACUGAGAAGAACGUCAAUACUCGUGUGGAAUCGUCGAUACAGGCAACCCAGUUUUGCUUAAGUGUUUAAGAUUCAACGGAAAAAAAUCGGGAUAUUCGUUCAACAUCUUCUACAGACAUCCCUUACAAUGUGAAUAACAAUAUUAUUGACGAAAUUCCUUAUUUCUCAUUUCAGACUCUGUAAUCUUUGAUUACGACCGUCUUGGAAGCGAAUGCUGGUUCAUUGCAAAACGCUUAUUUGGCAAUUUGUUAUUUGUGAUGGCGGUUUUUUUGGGGAAAACUAUGCUGUAGCUAUUUUCAACAAAGAAAUCACAGACUUGGUCAUAUGCUAUUUUGAUUUUAAUUGGAAUUGCCGCCGCCAGCCGAGCCGAGUUGGAUGGAAUUCGGAGCUGCUAAUACCCUUACCGGUCUCCAAUCCGGUGCUCAUUCGCAUACUCAUCUACAACCGUCAUCGAGAUGUCGGGGCCAUUCCCUUAGAAUCGGAAUCGUGCCGCCUUCUCAUUCGUUUCUUGGAAGUAUCGGUCACACUUUCUCGAAGAAAAGAAAACACAAUAUUUCGUCCACCCAUGUUGCUGGAUGAUGCGGCCAGCAGAAGCCCAGCAAAACCCAAACCUUUACUGGGCAGUUCGGGAUCGGAUCUGGCUUUGUCACAACCUUCACUGGCAGUUGAUUUCUCCAACACACCCAGCACUAGCCCCUCACAGCACGACACACUCGUUUCUAUUGCCCAGGACGGAACUCUUUCGUUGGUCGGUACACUCGUCUCGGAGCACGCUUCAGUCGAUAUUGACAUGGGCUUAAACCAGGAAAAUAUUGCGCAAAGUUUAUCAGCUUCUAGAGAUGUUGAUGCAGAUACGGCCGUACUACCGAAGAGUCUAGGUUCAACCUUAGCUCGAGCCGCCGACACGUUGCGCAUGGCUCUUUUGGUUUAUGUGUGUCUCCAAAAGCAAUGUGACUAUAGUAGCCCAGUUGAACAACAACAAGUUGGUCCAUGCUUCUGUUAACAAUCUGAGUUUAGACGGCAGCAUUUUACCACGCUCACAGAUUGCACUCUAAGGUCUGAUAGAUGUGUUUUCAUGUCAAAUUCUUCAGACCGUAGCUUCUACUGAAAGAGAUGGAAAGGUCAACCAGCAAUCACAAUUUGUCGAAUCACGAACGAAAACUUGGCAGCCGUGUUUAGCAGAGUUUUCAGUUGGAGUUCAAACAGAAAUUCACGUUGACCCAGUUUUACCGGCCAUCACGAAUUUGUUUAAAUGUCUUUGUAGAUGAUUCACGAGCAAUGGUCAGCGGACAUCCAAGAACUAGUUUCGAGUUGAAUUUGCCACGCUGCGCAUUACUUUUUGACGGACAUUCCAUCAUUGAAGCUGAAGGAUUAAAUAUUAGCUAGCUGAUAACGAUCUUGAUCUUAAACAGGAAAGAAUCAGUUUCGAUUGCGAGGCUGCCACAAACAAAUGUGGACUAGUCAUCAGCAUUGCGCGUUUGCUUCCCCUACCGUUACCAGUUUUCCGAAGCCUGCCAACAGGAGAUGGUGAGCGUCUUCAAGUGGCUAAAAUCGCUGCACAAAAAGCCUCGGCUUCCUGGACAAAUAGAGCCACUUUAUCGUGACGUUCGUCUGUCAGUUGCACUAUUUUCUAUGGUGCUUUGUGACGACCCAUUUGAAGUCAAGCUCCGUGAUAACUACGAAUUGCGCGAAGAUGAAUUUCAUGAGAGUCUCAAACGUAAGCGUACGUUGGACGCUAAAAUUGAAGAACUCCGAAGAACGCACCCACCUCUGACGCAAGGUUAAAUGAGGCCAUGAAAGUAGCCCCACCUGGUAGGGAUGUGCGAAAGGUUUUGCUGAAAGCCAUCGAAGAGACCGAAAGUGCCCAUCAACGGCUCCCUGGAACUUCCACCCUGGCCUUAAUGGAAACAUCUUCUGACACCAUCCAAGACUGCUGCAGCAGCGGAGUUGGUUCCAGUUCGACCUCCACUUCCGAACGAGGUUAACCCCCUUUGCUGGGCACCACUGUUCGUUUGACCGUGCCUCUAGUGAAAUAAUUGUUAAGAUAUUUAGUUGAAUGUAAUUUUCGUCUUAUAACUUACCGUAAAUCUUGUAAUUGGCGUGCUUCGUUCUUCGAGAUAAUUUGUUUUCUUCAUCUGCUUUGGCGUCGGAUCAAAUUCUCAGUAGACGUCUUAUAACUGAAAUUCUAUCAAUUUUAGAACCAGCUCUUGAUGAUUAUUAACUUAUUGGCGAUUCAAUCAAAUAAUGAAAUUUUUAAAAGGUAUCUUCUAUUAUAAAAGCGUGACGGUUUAUAGAAACAAAAUGUUUUCACUAAGUGACAUGUAAAAGAAAUCAAUGAAAUUAUAGAACUGAGUCGCAUGGACUCGGGUGUAGUUAUUCUCAGCA